rnacentral:tRNA from 1 species
GCCCUGCUGACGGAACUGGCAGACGUACCGGGCUCAAACCUCGGGUUUUCCGAGUUCGACUCUCGGGUGGGGCACCA